UGUAAUGCUUGCAGGACGGCCACCUGCCGCAGAACCUCUUAGUUCCCAUCGCUGCAAAGGGCUCCAGGCACUGUAAAUUAGGGGCAGAGGGCACUUGCACUGCGGUAAACACAGGUCUGGGCAGGAGGAGAGUGCAGUGCAAUCCCCUCCUGUGGGUCACAAGUAUACUGGUGCACCUGCCCAGGAUCAGAGCCGGUGCAAGGAUUUUUGCUGCCCUAGGCAAAGGAAAAAUUAGCUGCCCCCCCA